rnacentral:rRNA from 1 species
GAUGAACGCUGGCGGCGUGCCUAAUACAUGCAAGUCGAGCGAACAGAUAAGGAGCUUGCUCCUUUGACGUUAGCGGCGGACGGGUGAGUAACACGUGGGUAACCUACCUAUAAGACUGGAAUAACUCCGGGAAACCGGGGCUAAUGCCGGAUAACAUUUAGAACCGCAUGGUUCUAAAGUGAAAGAUGGUUUUGCUAUAACUUAUAGAUGGACCCGCGCCGUAUUAGCUAGCUGGUAAGGUAACGGCUUACCACGGCAACGAUACGUAACCGACCUGCGAGGGGGAUCGGCCACCCUGGAACUGGGCCACGGUCCAUGCUCCUACGGUAGGCAGCAGUAGGGAAUCUUCCGCAAUGGGCGAAAGCCUGACGGAGCAACGCCGCGUGAGUGAUGAAGGUCUUCGGAUCGUAAAACUCUGUUAUUAGGGAAGAACAAAUUUGUAAGGAACUGUGCACGUCUUGACGGUACCUAAUCAGAAAGCCACGGCUAACUACGUG